ACCUGGGUGGCUCAGUCGGUUAAGUGUCUGACUUUAGCUCAGGUCACGAUCUCACGGUUCGUGGGUUCAAGCCCCACAUUGGGCU
rnacentral:tRNA from 1 species